GACGAACGCUGGCGGCGUGCUUAACACAUGCAAGUCGAACGGAAAGGCCCUGCUUUUGUGGGGUGCUCGAGUGGCGAACGGGUGAGUAACACGUGAGUAACCUGCCCUUGACUUUGGGAUAACUUCAGGAAACUGGGGCUAAUACCGGAUAGGAGCUCCUGCUGCAUGGUGGGGGUUGGAAAGUUUCGGCGGUUGGGGAUGGAUUCGCGGCUUAUCAGCUUGUUGGUGGGGUAGUGGCUUACCAAGGCUUUGACGGGUAGCCGGCCUGAGAGGGUGACCGGCCACAUUGGGACUGAGAUACGGCCCAGACUCCUACGGGAGGCAGCAGUGGGGAAUAUUGCACAAUGGGCGGAAGCCUGAUGCAGCAACGCCGCGUGCGGGAUGACGGCCUUCGGGUUGUAAACCGCUUUCGCCUGUGACGAAGCGUGAGUGACGGUAAUGGGUAAAGAAGCACCGGCUAACUACGUGCCAGCAGCCGCGGUGAUACGUAGGGUGCGAGCGUUGUCCGGAUUUAUUGGGCGUAAAGGGCUCGUAGGUGGUUGAUCGCGUCGGAAGUGUAAUCUUGGGGCUUAACCCUGAGCGUGCUUUCGAUACGGGUUGACUUGAGGAAGGUAGGGGAGAAUGGAAUUCCUGGUGGAGCGGUGGAAUGCGCAGAUAUCAGGAGGAACACCAGUGGCGAAGGCGGUUCUCUGGGCCUUUCCUGACGCUGAGGAGCGAAAGCGUGGGGAGCGAACAGGCUUAGAUACCCUGGUAGUCCACGCUGUAAACGGUGGGUACUAGGUGUGGGGUCCAUUCCACGGGUUCCGUGCCGUAGCUAACGCUUUAAGUACCCCGCCUGGGGAGUACGGCCGCAAGGCUAAAACUCAAAGGAAUUGACGGGGCCCCGCACAAGCGGCGGAGCAUGCGGAUUAAUUCGAUGCAACGCGUAGAACCUUACCUGGGUUUGACAUGGAUCGGGAGCGCUCAGAGAUGGGUGUGCCUCUUUUGGGGUCGGUUCACAGGUGGUGCAUGGCUGUCGUCAGCUCGUGUCGUGAGAUGUUGGGUUAAGUCCCGCAACGAGCGCAACCCUUGUUCACUGUUGCCAGCACGUUAUGGUGGGGACUCAGUGGAGACCGCCGGGGUCAACUCGGAGGAAGGUGGGGAUGACGUCAAGUCAUCAUGCCCCUUAUGUCCAGGGCUUCACGCAUGCUACAAUGGCUGGUACAGAGAGUGGCGAGCCUGUGAGGGUGAGCGAAUCUCGGAAAGCCGGCCUCAGUUCGGAUUGGGGUCUGCAACUCGACCUCAUGAAGUCGGAGUCGCUAGUAAUCGCAGAUCAGCAACGCUGCGGUGAAUACGUUCCCGGGGCU
rnacentral:rRNA from 1 species